CCUUGCGCUUGCGAUGCAGGUGGGUGGCACCACUGAGCUAAAUCCCGGGCCCUGUUUAGUUUCUUUUUAGCCUUUAUUUCUGCCUUGCCGUUUUUCCUUCUCCAGCUCCCUCCUGAACUUCUGGUGGACUGCUGUCCCUGCCUAUAACUUCCCUUCCGGCCCUUUCCCAUCCUGCCUCCCUGGCUCUUGUCUGGGUUCCCUCUUGCCCGCUCCCGGUGGCCCCCGUCCUGUUGGCCACCACCCUGGAGAGCAUCUGUAGCAGCCAGGAGUGACCCGAGGUGCGGAUGGAGGCUGGUGAGGCCGGGGGUCGGAGCCUCUGAUCCCCAGGACAGCCACUUCCGCGUUCCCCCCCAGGCACAGAGGGAGGAGAGAACAGGCACUCGAUGAAUCAGCCUCCAGGCCCACGGUCUGCUUCAUGCGGAGCCAUCACAGAAGAAAGUGUCAACUGAGCCUCCUCCCACUUCCCGGAAGGCCUCCCUCGAGCCUUCCUGAGCUGCGGCAGGCCGAAGACGGCUAGGAAGGGAUGCUGUGUCUGCGAAAUCAAACACUGUGCUCUACACCAGACCUCAGGCGGCUGACGGUGGGGUGGAGAGGGGAGCAGCAGCAGCCUUCAGUGAGAACUACAGUGAGAACUGUGUCGACCCAGCCCUCCGGCUGCUCUCUUGGAGUAGUCCUGGGGCCCACAUCUUGGGCCCCACUACAAUCCCCUGUAGUCCUAGGGAGCAUUUCCCCUAAAACACCCAAGGGUCCUUCGGAGAACCAUUGUUUUCCUAUCUCUCUCAGCAUCUCCCUAGAGUGGGUAGGGCAGCAUCUGCCAGUCUCACCACCCUCCACCAGAUUAGCUGUUCAGGCCCGAGUUGUAGAGCCGGAGCAAUUAAAUCAGAAUUAAUUGGCUGGUAGGCAAUCUCCUUCCAAUCCGAGCAGUCAGGAGCCGCGGCCUAUUUUGCUGAGUCGACAAGCCCAGCACAAUGCACAUGUGGGGAGGGGGUGUCCACGGAGCUGCUGGGAAUUGGAGGCGUCCUCUCCUCCCUGCCUCCAGCCAAAUACAACAGCCCGCCGGAUCCCAGCAGCCCUGCAGGGAAUCCGGCUUCGCUGGUGCGGAACUUUCCUGAGUAGAACUUUGAUUUGGCAACUUCAGAGCGCUUAACCUGGGGAUGUUUCUCAAUGUGAUUCUGUUUCAAGUUUUAAUAUCUGUAUCCUUUUCCCCGUCACAAAGGCAAUGCAUUUGUUAUUGACUCUUAAAAAUCAAUUAUUGAAAAUAUGUAAGGGGGCCGGGGGGUGUAGCUCAGUGGCACCAUGCCUGCCUGCUUCGCAAGCACAAGGUCCUGAGUUCGAUCCCCAGAGCCGGAAAAAAAAAGGAAAUACGUAAGGCUUAGGAGGCCACACGUAAAAUUGUGCCUGCAUACAUACGAGCACUUGAUAAAGGGGAGGAAAUCUGCAAGAAUACACAUCAAGCCGUCCAGGAAACCUGGCCCUGGUGUGUGCGUGGAGCGGGGGAGAGGGAAGCUUAAUGGGUACCAGUGUGAGUCGCAGUGUUUGGUGCUGAUGUGUUGUGUAGGCGUUGUUCACGUCCGUGAUAAUAAAAGUGAUACAGGAGCUGUGAAAGAGCCGUGACCU